rnacentral:rRNA from 1 species
UUGGGGAUGUUUUGAGGCAGAUUUGUUUCCGUCGUUUUGAGGCCAGCUUGCUGGUACCCAAACGGUGUUAGCAUUUUUUGUCUUGGGCAUUUGAGUAUGGCUCACGGGCAUUUAUUGGUCAGAUCUGAGUGUAAGUUACGGUCGCAUGCGACACGUGCUUUUCAAUUAGUUCGGUCCAGUUAAUGCUCUCGUACUCGUUCCCCAUGUAAAAGCCGGUCAUCUAUCCGACCCGUCUUGAAACACGGACCAAGGAGUUUAUCGUGUGCGCAAGUUUUUGGGUGUUAAAAACCUAAAAGCGAAAUGAAAGUAAAUGACUCUUUAGAGUCUGAUGUGCGAUCUUGUAAAAAAGUGUAGCAUGGCCCCAUUCUAACUGUUUACAGUAGGGUGGCGGAAGAGCGUACGCGGUGAGACCCGAAAGAUGGUGAACUAUUCCGAGCAGGAUGAAGCC